ensembl:lncRNA
GGGAAGGCAAGGCCAGGCAAGAGCAGGCAAGCAAAGGCAAAGCAAGGCAAGGACAGGGAAUGCAAGGCAAGGCAAAUCCAGUCCAGGGCAGGCAAGGCACAGCCGGACAAAAGAAGGCCAGGCCAGGGUAGACAAGGCAAGACAAGGCUAGGCAAGACCAGGACAAACAAGGCAUGGCCAGGCCAGGCAAGUCAAGGCAAUGCCAGGCAAGGCAAUGCAAAGUCAGGCAAGAGCAGAACUGGACAGGCCGGGGCAGUCCAAGCAUGGCCAGGCCAGUCCAGGUAAGGCAUGGAGACGAAAGGCCAGGCAAGGUUAGGCGAGGUCAGGCAAGGUCAGAUGAGGCUAGGUGAUGCCAGACCAUGCCAGGUGAGGUGCGUCCAGGCGAGACCAGAAAAGGCCAGGGGAGGGAAGGGAAGGCAAGGCGAGGCAAGGCGAGGGAAGGCAAGGCGAUGCAAGGCCAGGCCAGGCCAGGCCAGGCCAGGCAAGACAAGGCCAGGCCAGGCCAGCAAGGCAAAGAAAGGCCAGGCCAGUCCAUGCCAGGCAAGGCCAGGCAAGGCAUUGGAAGUCCAGGGAAGGUUAGGCAAGGCCAGGCUAAGCUAGAAUAUGUCUGGCCAAGCCAGGCAAAAGAAGGCCAGGCAAGGCCUGGCCAGACAAAGUAAGGCCAUGCCCGGACAGGCCAGGCAGGACAAAGCCAGGCAAGGCAGUGGCAGGCCAGGAGAGGUGGCAAGGCAAGGCCAUGCAAGCACAUGCAGGGAUAGGCAAGGUUAGGCGAGGCCAGGCCUGGCCAGACAAGGCGAGGUAAGGCAAGGCAUGGCCAGGCCAGCAAGGCAAAGCAAGGCCUGGCCAGACAAAGUAAGGCCAUGCCCGGACAGGCCAGGCAAAGCAAGGCCAGGCAAGGCAGUGGCAGGCCAGGAGAGGUGGCAAGGCAAGGCUAUGCAAGCACAUGCAGGGAUAGGCAAUGUUAGGCGAGGCCAGGCCUGGCCAGACAAGGCGAGGUAAGGCAAGGCAUGGCCAGGCCAGCAAGGCAAAGCAAGGCCUGGCCAGACAAAGUAAGGCCAUGCCCGGACAGGCCAGGCAAAGCAAGGCCAGUCCACGCCAGAACAGGCAAGGCAAGGCAAGUCCAAACAAAGAUAGGCCGGGCUAGGAAAGGCCAGACCAGGCCAGGCAUGGCAAGGCCAGGCCAAAGUCCAAGCAAGGAUAGGCCGUGCUAAGACAAGCCAGGACAAAGCAAGGCAAGGCCAGGUGAGGCAGGGCAAGGCCAUGACAGGAACGUCCAGGCAAGGCCUGGCCAAACCGGGACAGAUCAGGAAAUGCCAGGCAAGGCCAGGCCAGGCCAGGUUAGGCAAGGCAAGGCAAGGCAAUGGCAGGCCAGGGGAGGUUAGGCAAAGCCAGGCUAGCCUAGGGUAGGCCAGGCCAGGCAAUACAUGGUCAGGCCAGGCCAGGCCAGACAAGGUAAGGCCAUGCCCCUACAGGCCAGGCAAGGCAAGGCCAGGUCAUACAUGGGCAGGCCAGUACACACACAGCCAGGAGAGGCCAGGUGGCGCAAGGACAGGAGAGGCCAGACCAGGCCAGGCAAGGCAAGGCCAAGCAAGGUCCGGCCAGGCUUUAGCAGACCACGCCAGGCCAGUCCAGGUCAGGCCAGGCAAUGCCAGGCAAUGCAAUGCCAGGACAGGCUAGGCCAGGCCGGUCUCAAACAGGCCAGGCAAUGCAAUGCAAUGCAAUGCAAGGCAAUGCUAGGCCAGGCCAGGCCAGGCCAGGCCAGGCCAGGCAAGGCAAGGC